GCCUUGCAUCCACAUGAUUUGAGAUGGUCGUAUGUGUUGAGAGCAUAGCAAGGCUU
rnacentral:sRNA from 12 species